CUGAGCCAGAACUAAACCAGGACUGAUCUUGUCUGAUCUCUGAAGCUAAGCAGGGCUGGGCCUGGUUAGUACUUGGAUAGGAGGCUGCUGGGAAUACCAGGUACCACAGU
rnacentral:rRNA from 1 species